rnacentral:rRNA from 1 species
AGUGAACGCUGGCGGUAGGCCUAACACAUGCAAGUCGAACGGCAGCACAGUAAGCGCUUGCUCUUACGGGUGGCGAGUGGCGGACGGGUGAGGAAUACAUCGGAAUCUACUUUUUCGUGGGGGAUAACGUAGGGAAACUUACGCUAAUACCGCAUACGACCUACGGGUGAAAGCAGGGGAUCUUCGGACCUUGCGCGAUUGAAUGAGCCGAUGUCGGAUUAGCUAGUUGGCGGGGUAAAGGCCCACCAAGGCGACGAUCCGUAGCUGGUCUGAGAGGAUGAUCAGCCACACUGGAACUUGGACACGGUCCAGACUCCUACGGGAGGCAGCAGUGGGGAAUAUUGGACAAUGGGCGCAAGCCUGAUCCAGCCAGACCGCGUGGGUGAAGAAGGCCUUCGGGUUGUAAAGCCCUUUUGUUGGGAAAGAAAAGCAGCAGGUUAAUACCCCGCUGUUCUGACGGUACCCAAAGAAUAAACACCGGCUAACUUCGUG